GAGUGUUUGUCACAGAAUGGUGAUCUUGCUUAGAAGCCAGCCUCCCUCUUGUCCCUUCUGUAUAUUCGAGAAGACAGGAAAGCAAGCUGAAUCACUUUGACUUCAGUGGCAAUACAGUGCCCUCCUCCUGACCACUGGGAUGGUUGAUUGUUUACGUAAUUAUACAAGUCAUUCCUGCUCAUGGUCACUCAGGAGUCUCUUCGUCUCGGGAUGAGGAUGCAAUGCCCUCCACUCUGCAUCUUUUCUCCCACCUGCCAAAGCCUACCACCUGCCUAUCUUGUGCUGCCACACCUCGGUGUGGCUUCUGGCACUUCAUGGUGUGGUUUGCAAAGAAAUGUUCCUAUGCCUCAGAAAAACAUCAUAGGUCGUCUGUCUUCUGAUUGCUGGCAACAAAUAAAAGAAGAGCCUAGUUUGUGAUAAAUGAUGAAAACACUUGUUAAAUAAAAGAACUCAUUUGGAUCAGA